rnacentral:misc_RNA from 2 species
AACGCACAUUGCGCCCCUUGGUAUUCCAUGGGGCAUGCCUGUUCGAGCGUCAUUUGUACCCUCAAGCUCUGCUUGGUGUUGGGUGUUUGUCCUCUCCCUAGUGUUUGGACUCGCCUUAAAAUAAUUGGCAGCCAGUGUUUUGGUAUUGAAGCGCAGCACAAGUCGCGAUUCUUAUCAAAUACUUGCGUCCACAAGCCCUUUUUUAACUUUUGACCUCGGAUCAGGUAGGGAUACCCGCUGAACUUAA